GGCGGCUGAGCUGUGGAGAGGACGGACAAUGGGGUCCUCUGUACAGAACGACAGAGGAAAGCGCUGACAUCCAAGUCACCACAUCUGAGAUCUGCGGCCUACGGUUGGCCCUACUCCAGGUGAUUGGCAGAGUGAUGUCAGCUGAGAUGGAUGCACACACCAAGGGAAGACACAUGUUGAGGUAAGACCUGUGGAGGACACGUGAUGUUUGGAGGGAAUAUAAAUCGAACUCAAGGGACAGUGACGGAGGCUGAGCUAAGCUUGUGUGUAGAGCUAGUGGUGCAAUGCUUGUCUUGGGUCUUGAGUCUUCGCUGAUCUUUGAUCUUUGCUUUGCUGAGAGAGGCACAGCUGAGAACUCCUGGUGUUCCUGCUGGUCCCUCUUGCUGACUUGUAUCCAGGCUGAGGCUUGGAUGUCUCUGCUAGGCAGUGCCACUGGUGCUGAUUGUGUUUGCUAUCUUGACUCUACUGAACUGAACUGCUGGUGUAUGUAUCCGUGAAGUGUUUGCCAGUGGAUCAAGCUGCUGCUGCUGACCUGUGAACUGAACGGCCAGUUUCCAGACAACACAGAUGGAAGUUGCUCCAAGGAACCAUUUCUAAACAAG
rnacentral:lncRNA from 1 species